UACGAAGGGGGCUAGCGUUGCUCGGAAUCACUGGGCGUAAAGGGUGCGUAGGCGGGUCUUUAAGUCAGGGGUGAAAUCCUGGAGCUCAACUCCAGAACUGCCUUUGAUACUGAGGAUCUUGAGUUCGGGAGAGGUGGGUGGAACUGCGAGUGUAGAGGUGAAAUUCGUAGAUAUUCGCAAGAACACCAGUGGCGAAGGCGGCAUCCUGGACCGACACUGACACUGAGGAGCGAAAGCCAGGGGAGCAAACGGG
rnacentral:rRNA from 1 species